CGCCCCUCCUGCCCCCACAG
rnacentral:miRNA from 1 species